rnacentral:rRNA from 1 species
GACGAACGCUGGCGGCGUGCUUAACACAUGCAAGUCGAACGGAAAGGCCCUGCUUGCAGGGUGCUCGAGUGGCGAACGGGUGAGUAACACGUGGGUGAUCUGCCCCUUACUUUGGGAUAAGCCUGGGAAACUGGGUCUAAUACUGGAUAGGACCAUGCUGUAGGUGGUGUGGUGGAAAGAUUUUUUCGGUAAGGGAUGAGCUUGCGGCCUAUCAGCUUGUUGGUGGGGUAAUGGCCUACCAAGGCGUCGACGGGUAGCCGGCCUGAGAGGGUGGACGGCCACAUUGGGACUGAGAUACGGGCCAGACUCAUACGGGAGGCAGCAGUGGUGAAUAUUGCACAAUGGGCGCAAGCCUGAUGCAGCGACGCCGCGUGGGGGAUGACGGCCUUCGGGUUGUAAACUCCUUUCAGCCAUGACGAAGCCUCUUUUGGGGUGACGGUAGUGGUAGAAGAAGCACCGGCUAACUACGUG